rnacentral:rRNA from 1 species
GACGAACGCUGGCGGCGUGCUUAACACAUGCAAGUCGAACGGAAAGGCCCUGCGUUUGUGGGGUGCUCGAGUGGCGAACGGGUGAGUAACACGUGAGUAACCUGCCCUUGACUUUGGGAUAACUUCAGGAAACUGGGGCUAAUACCGGAUAGGAGCUCCUGCUGCAUGGUGGGGGUUGGAAAGUUUCGGCGGUUGGGGAUGGACUCGCGGCUUAUCAGCUUGUUGGUGGGGUAGUGGCUUAACAAGGCUUUGACGGGUAGCCGGCCUGAGAGGGUGACCGGCCACAUUGGGACUGAGAUACGGCCCAGACUCAUACGGGAGGCAGCAGUGGGGAAGAUUGCACAAUGGGCGGAAGACUGAUGCAGCAACGCCGCGUGCGGGAUGACGGCCUUCGGGUUGUAAACCGCUUUCGCCUGUGACGAAGCGUGAGUGACGGUAAUGGGUAAAGAAGCACCGGCUAACUACGUG